ACAGAGUAAACAUGAGUGCUGCUUUCUGUAAGAGGGAAAAACAACGAAGUUUCAUUUAGGAGAUGAAAGUUAAAAUGAGAGUUUUUAAAUGUGAGUGAAGUGAGUUUGAGCUUCUGAACUGGUUUGAAACUGUUCAUGUACAAGCGGCUCCACAGGUGAGGGUCACUUCAGCCUGGUGAACGUGGUGUUAGGGACAGGAGAAGAACUUUGUGGAGAACAAUCUGCUAAAAGUUUCCAUGUGAUGGAUGAGUUGGAUGGAGGAUUUUCUUUAAUCUGACCAUCACAGCUACACCACAGAACUGAGGGAAAGAUGGAAAACAUUCUGUUCAAAAGUUCAGUUCUUUGGAGUCAUGAAAAAUGUCAUGAGGUCACCAGUGACUCUGGAUGAAGUGCAACAGUCCAUUGAGAUUUUGAACGGCCUUCCAGCACUCUUCCCAUCAGGAGUUGCACCACCACAGAAACUGGGACAGCCAAGUGAGGCUCUGUUUCAUAUUCUCAUGCCCUCUGAAAACGCUGCUGCUGUUCUUAGCAGAUGUCGUCUAUCAGCCCCCUGCUUCUAACUGACCAGGAUAACUUCAUGAUCAGUGUUGGGAAGAACCCAGAGAGAACAUUCCCUAAAGGCCUGCUGCACCAAGGUGUUCUGUACGUCAUGGUGUACUAUUAUGUGCUGCAAGUCAGGUCCAGAUUGAAGGACCCUUUUUAUUGUUAUUUUUUAUGUUUAAAGAUGGUAUAUGAAGACCAAGCAAUUAGUGAUGGGUCGGUCGCGAACGAUUCGGCUCUAAGAGCCGGCUCUUUAAAGUGAACGACGGGAUCCGGCUCCUCACUGGAAGCCGAUUCGUUUUUUUCCGGUUUGUUUUUUUCUGUUAAAACCGCACGUGAUUGGUGAAGAUACGUGGUGGCGUUUGUGUAAUUACACUGAGCAGGAGGGGAGGGGUUACACACACACACACACAUACACACACAGCGAGCACACAAACAGGAGAGAGAGAGAGAGAGAGAGAGAGAGAGAGAGAGAGAACUCAGCGCUUUACACAGCCAGACAUUACACGCUGGAAAGGUGAGGAAAAUGAGUGAGAGGAAACAUAGUAAAGUUUGUACACGAGAAGCCCCUUUUACAGAGAAGUUCAGACCUACUGAACUGGUGGGAGACCAAGUGUUCAAUCUAUCCACAUCUUAUACAUGUGAUGGCACAUAGACUGUGUAUCUGUCCCCUCAGAGAGAAUCUUUUUUAACAGGGCAGAUCAUAACAGAAAAGAGAAACAGGAUCAACCCAUCAAAGAUGAGCUGCUUGGUUUUUCUGAAUGCCAAUCUUCACUAAAUACUUACAAAUACUGUCACCUGGAUGCUUUCACCUGGAUUUUCUUUUUGUUUUGCACAUUUUCAUUUAUAUUUUGUUGAGUGAUGCUUCGUUGAUGUUGUGUUGUUUCACUCUAGAUGCUUGUUUAUUUUGUUUUGUUUAUUAGGAUUUUAACGUCACGUUUUACACUUUGGUUACAUUCAUGACAGGAACAUUCACCUCACUUGCAUGUCUUUGGACUGUGGGAGGAAACCGGAGCACCCGGAGGAAACCCACGCGGACACGGGAAAGACAUGCAAACUCCACACAGAAAGGACCUUCACUUGGGGAUCGAACCAGGACCUUCUUGCCGUGAGGCGACAGUGCUACCCACUUAGCCACUGUGCCGUCCCACUCUAGAUGCAAACGUACAAAUAAUAUACACAAUCAGAUCUUUUUAUCUAAUUGAGAUGGGUCUUUGUUUUUGUAUUUUAUAAUUUAUUGUUGUAGCACUCUGUUCCAUGUUAAGUAUAUAAAUAAAGCAAUUUAAAUAAUAAACAUUUGAUACAAUGUUUUUUUACAUUAGUAAUUCAUUUUACAUGUAAUUUGGUAAUAAAUUAAUUUAAGCAACAAAAAAAUCUAAGGAGCCACUUGGGAGCCGAAAUUCCCAUCACUACAAGCAAUGUUGUUAAUGUUGUAUACAGAGGGACGUUGUUAUUGGAAAGCCUUGACAUCUAAGAUUUACGUGUUUUAAUAGAAUUCUCAGAAGCUGCCUGAUCCUGCUUGUUGUGUAUUUGGAUAAAGCUGCCAUGAUGGCACACUUGUUAAAGUUAAUAAA